GAUGAAGAACGUAGCGAAAUGCGAUACGUAAUGUGAAUUGCAGAAUUCAGUGAAUCAUCGAAUCUUUGAACGCAUAUUGCGCUCUCUGGUAUUCCGGAGAGCAUGCUUGUUUGAGUAUCAGUAAAAACCUCAACUCCCUUUCUUCUUGAAAUGGAGCUGGUCUUGAGUGAUCCCAACGCUUUAUUCAUAAAGUGGCGGGUUACUUGAAAUGCAGGUGCAGCUGGACUUUUCUCUGAGCUAUAAGCAUAUCUAUUUAGUCUGCCUCAAAACAGAUUAUUACCUUUGCUGCAGCUAACAUAAAGGAGAUUAGUUCUUGUGCUGACUGAUGCAGGAUUCACAAAGACCGCUUCGGCUGUCUUUGUAAACUCGAUCUCAAAUCAAGUAAGACUACCCGCUGAACUUAAGCAUAUCAAUAAGCGGAGGA
rnacentral:misc_RNA from 1 species